rnacentral:rRNA from 1 species
UACGUAGGGGCAAGCGUUGUCCGGAAUCAUUGGGCGUAAAGCGCGCGUAGGCGGCCCGGUAAGUCCGCUGUAAAAGUCCAGGGCUCAACCCUGGAAAGCCGGUGGAUACUGUCGGGCUAGAGUCCGGAAGAGGCGAGUGGAAUUCCUGGUGUAGCGGUGGAAUGCGCAGAUAUCAGGAGGAACACCGAUGGCGAAGGCAGCUCGCUGGGACGGUACUGACGCUGAGACGCGAAAGCGUGGGGAGCGAACAGG